rnacentral:rRNA from 3 species
GAAUGCUGACAUAAGUAACGAUAAAGCGGGUGAAAAGCCCGCUCGCCGGAAGACCAAGGGUUCCUGUCCAACGUUAAUCGGGGCAGGGUGAGUCGACCCCUAAGGCGAGGCCGAAAGGCGUAGUCGAUGGGAAACGGGUUAAUAUUCCCGUACUUGGUGUUACUGCGAAGGGGGGACGGAGAAGGCUAUGUUGGCCGGGCGACGGUUGUCCCGGUUUAAGCGUGUAGGUGUGUGUUCCAGGUAAAUCCGGUUCACUUUAACACUGAGGCGUGACGACGAGGCACUACGGUGCUGAAGCAACAAAUGCCCUGCUUCCAGGAAAAGCCUCUAAGCAUCAGGUAACAUCAAAUCGUACCCCAAACCGACACAGGUGGUCAGGUAGAGAAUACCAAGGCGCUUGAGAGAACUCGGGUGAAGGAACUAGGCAAAAUGGUGCCGUAACUUCGGGAGAAGGCACGCUGACACGUAGGUGAAGUGAUUUACUCAUGGAGCUGAAGUCAGUCGAAGAUACCAGCUGGCUGCAACUGUUUAUUAAAAACACAGCACUGUGCAAACACGAAAGUGGACGUAUACGGUGUGACGCCUGCCCGGUGCCGGAAGGUUAAUUGAUGGGGUCAGCGCAAGCGAAGCUCCUGAUCGAAGCCCCGGUAAACGGCGGCCGUAACUAUAACGGUCCUAAGGUAGCGAAAUUCCUUGUCGGGUAAGUUCCGACCUGCACGAAUGGCGUAAUGAUGGCCAGGCUGUCUCCACCCGAGACUCAGUGAAAUUGAACUCGCUGUGAAGAUGCAGUGUACCCGCGGCAAGACGGAAAGACCCCGUGAACCUUUACUAUAGCUUGACACUGAACAUUGAGCCUUGAUGUGUAGGAUAGGUGGGAGGCUUUGAAGUGUGGACGCCAGUCUGCAUGGAGCCGACCUUGAAAUACCACCCUUUAAUGUUUGAUGUUCUAACGUGGACCCGUUACCCGGGUUGCGGACAGUGUCUGGUGGGUAGUUUGACUGGGGCGGUCUCCUCCUAAAGAGUAACGGAGGAGCACG